rnacentral:lncRNA from 1 species
CUUACAUAAGUAGCGCUCUGGCCAUCUUCAUGUGCUCUGGAGGAAACUGGCAGGAUGCCAUGGUGGAAGGACCAGAAAGCUUAUGAGCCUGACCAUCUCUAUCGGGAGGUUUCCUUGAUGGUGUUCUUCAUUCCUGUUCUUUUUGACCCUGGAGUCUAAGUUUACUCACCAUAUUGUGAACUCCCCACUAUGCAUCCAAUAAGAAUUUUCUGGUUUUUGUUUAAUUUAGCUGGAAUCAGUUACUGCUGCUCCUAAAACCUGGCUCCGCAGACAAUCAAUUCUAUAGUACUCCCUCCUACUUCCCCCUACUUCCUCUCUGCUUCCUCCCUACUUCUUUCCCUUUUUGCUCUUUUUUCUCCUUUCUGCCUUCUCUCUUUUCUUAUUGUCUCAUACUUUUAUUGCCCGUGCUUAGAGGUUUUGAAGGAUGAAUGAAAA